rnacentral:rRNA from 1 species
AGAGUUUGAUCCUGGCUCAGGAUGAACGCUGGCGGCGUGCUUAACACAUGCAAGUCGAACGAUCCUUCGGGAUAGUGGCGGACGGGUGAGUAACGCGUGGGAAUCUGCCCUUAGGAGGGGGAUAACGGCUGGAAACGGCCUCUAAUACCCCAUAUGCCGAGAGGUGAAACGAAUUUCGCCUGAGGAUGAGCCCGCGUCUGAUUAGCUAGUUGGUGGGGUAAAGGCCUACCAAGGCGACGAUCAGUAGCUGGUCUGAGAGGAUGAUCAGCCACACUGGGACUGAGACACGGCCCAGACUCCUACGGGAGGCAGCAGUGGGGAAUUUUCCGCAAUGGGCGAAAGCCUGACGGAGCAACGCCGCGUGAGGGAUGAAGGCCUCUGGGCUGUAAACCCCUUUUCUCAAGGAAGAAGAACUGACGGUACUUGAGGAAUAAGCCACGGCUAAUUCCGUGCCAGCAGCCGCGGUAAUACGGGAGUGGCAAGCGUUAUCCGGAAUUAUUGGGCGUAAAGCGUCCGCAGGCGGCCUUGUAAGUCUGUUGUUAAAGCGUGGAGCUCAACUCCAUUUAAGCAAUGGAAACUACAAGGCUGGAGUGUGGUAGGGGCAGAGGGAAUUCCCGGUGUAGCGGUGAAAUGCGUAGAUAUCGGGAAGAACACCAGUGGCGAAGGCGCUCUGCUGGGCCAUAACUGACGCUCAUGGACGAAAGCCAGGGGAGCGAAAGGGAUUAGAUACCCCUGUAGUCCUGGCCGUAAACGAUGAACACUAGGUGUCGGGGGAAUCGACCCCCUCGGUGUCGUAGCCAACGCGUUAAGUGUUCCGCCUGGGGAGUACGCACGCAAGUGUGAAACUCAAAGGAAUUGACGGGGGCCCGCACAAGCGGUGGAGUAUGUGGUUUAAUUCGAUGCAACGCGAAGAACCUUACCAGGGUUUGACAUCCUGCGAAUCCCUUGGAAACGAGGGAGUGCCUUCGGGAGCGCAGUGACAGGUGGUGCAUGGCUGUCGUCAGCUCGUGUCGUGAGAUGUUGGGUUAAGUCCCGCAACGAGCGCAACCCACGUCUUUAGUUGCCAGCAUUCAGUUGGGCACUCUAGAGAGACCGCCGGUGAUAAACCGGAGGAAGGUGUGGAUGACGUCAAGUCAUCAUGCCCCUUACAUCCUGGGCUACACACGUACUACAAUGCUACGGACAAAGGGCAGCAAGCUCGCGAGAGUUAGCAAAUCCCAUAAACCGUGGCUCAGUUCAGAUCGUAGGCUGCAACUCGCCUACGUGAAGGAGGAAUCGCUAGUAAUCGCAGGUCAGCAUACUGCGGUGAAUACGUUCCCGGGCCUUGUACACACCGCCCGUCACACCAUGGAAGUUGGCCAUGCCCGAAGUCU